rnacentral:rRNA from 1 species
AUGAAAGAGUGGAUGAAAUAUAAUUUGUCUCAAAAUAAUAGUAUUGAAUUUAAAUUAAGAGUAAAAAUGCUUUUAUGAAUUUAUUAGACGAGAAGACCCUAUAGAAUUUAAUAAAAUUUAUUUAUUAAUGAUUUUUUAUUUUAUAUAGUUAAUAAAUAUUUAUAUUUUAUUGGGAGGAUAUUUAAAUUAAUUAAACUUUAAAAAUUUAUUAACAUAGAUUAAUGAAUAUAUGAUUAUUAU